UCCCUGGUGGUCCACUGGUUAGGACUCUGCACUUCCACUGCGGGGGUACAGGUUCGAUUCCUUGUCAGGGAA
rnacentral:tRNA from 1 species